CCCGGGUCCCCCCGCAACGAUAGGCUGUGAACCCCGUCAGGCCCGGAAGGGAGCAGCGGCAGCAGCGGAUGCGUGUGCCGGGGUGUGGCCGGGGUGA
rnacentral:SRP_RNA from 1 species